rnacentral:rRNA from 1 species
AUUGAACGCUGGCGGCAGGCCUAACACAUGCAAGUCGAGCGGAUGAAGGGAGCUUGCUCCUGGAUUCAGCGGCGGACGGGUGUGUAAUGCCUAGGAAUCUGCCUGGUAGUGGGGGAUAACGUCCGGAAACGGGCGCUAAUACCGCCUACGUCCUGAGGGAGAAAGUGGGGGAUCUUCGGACCUCACGCUAUCAGAUGAGCCUAGGUCGGAUUAGCUAGUUGGUGGGGUAAAGGCCUACCAAGGCGACGAUCCGUAACUGGUCUGAGAGGAUGGUCAGUCACACUGGAACGGAGACACGGUCCAGACUCCUACGGGAGGCAGCAGUGGGGAAUAUUGGACAAUGGGCGAAAGCCUGAUCCAGCCAUGCCGCGUGUGUGAAGAAGGUCUUCGGAUUGUAAAGCACUUUAAGUUGGGAGGAAGGGCAGUAAGUUAAUACCUUGCUGUUUUGACGUUACCAACAGAAUAAGCACCGGCUAACUUCGUG